rfam:Chryseobacterium indologenes strain CI_885 contig_13, whole genome shotgun sequence.
GAGGCGGAAUCCGAAAAGCCCUAUACGAGUAGGAA